rnacentral:rRNA from 1 species
GGGCUUGACAUCCCACGAACCUGGUGGAAACACUGGGGUGCCUUCGGGAGCGCCAAGACAGGUGGUGCAUGGUUGUCGUCAGCUCGUGUCGUGAGAUGUUGGGUUAAGUCCCGCAACGAGCGCAACCCCUGCUAUUAGUUGCUAACAUUUAAGGUGAGCACUCUAAUGGGACUGCCUGCGUCAAGCUGGAGGAAGGCG